GAUGAACGCUGGCGGCGUGCCUAAUACAUGCAGGUCGAGCGAACAGACGAGGAGCUUGCUCCUCUGACGUUAGCGGCGGACGGGUGAGUAACACGUGGAUAACCUACCUAUAAGACUGGGAUAACUUCGGGAAACCGGAGCUAAUACCGGAUAAUAUAUUGAACCGCAUGGUUCAAUAGUGAAAGACGGUUUUGCUGUCACUUAUAGAUGGAUCCGCGCCGCAUUAGCUAGUUGGUAAGGUAACGGCUUACCAAGGCAACGAUGCGUAGCCGACCUGAGAGGGUGAUCGGCCACACUGGAACUGAGACACGGUCCAGACUCCUACGGGAGGCAGCAGUAGGGAAUCUUCCGCAAUGCGCGAAAGCCUGACGGAGCAACGCCGCGUGAGUGAUGAAGGUCUUCGGAUCGUAAAACUCUGUUAUUAGGGAAGAACAAAUGUGUAAGUAACUAUGCACGUCUUGACGGUACCUAAUCAGAAAGCCACGGCUAACUACGUG
rnacentral:rRNA from 1 species